rnacentral:rRNA from 1 species
UCGAUUAGUUUGAUCAUGGCUCAGAAUCAACGCUGGCGGCGUGCCUCAGUCAUGCAAGUCGAACGCGAAAGUCCCCUUCGGGGGGCAAGUAGAGUGGCGCACGGGUGAGUAACACGUAGGUAAUCUACCUUCGGAUGGGGAAUAACAAUCGGAAACGGUUGCUAAUACCGCAUAAUGCAGCGGCACCUAAUGGUGACAGUUGUUAAAGCGGGGGAUCGAAAGACCUCGCGUCUGAGGAGGAGCCUGCGGCGGAUUAGCUAGUUGGUAAGGUAAUGGCUUACCAAGGCAACGAUCCGUAACCGGCCUGAGAGGGCGGUCGGUCACACUGACACUGACAUACGGGUCAGACUCCUACGGGAGGCAGCAGUCGGGAAUUUUGGGCAAUGGGCGAAAGCCUGACCCAGCAACGCCGCGUGAAGGAUGAAAUCCCUCGGGAUGUAAACUUCGCAAGAACGGGAAGAAUAAGUAGGGGACAAUACCCCCUAUGAUGACGGUACCGUUUGUAAGCUCCGGCUAACUCCGUGCCAGCAGCCGCGGUAAUACGGGGGGAGCAAGCGUUGUUCGGAUUUACUGGGCGUAAAGGGCGCGUAGGCGGCCAGCACAAGUCAGUUGUGAAAUCUCCGAGCUUAACUCGGAAAGGUCAACUGAUACUGUGCGGCUAGAGUGCGGAAGGGGCAACUGGAAUUCUUGGUGUAGCGGUGAAAUGCGUAGAUAUCAAGAGGAACACCUGCGGCGAAGG